GCUCUUGGAAAAAGUUAAAUAUGGAGGCACGUGACGAGGCUGCUUCACGCUGCACUCGGCAGACAAAAUUGGCUGCAGGAGCUAACCCUUUCGCUCACCAGCGGCGGGAAAUCAUUUCUCAGGGAUGGCUUUUUUUGAGAAGACACGAUAUUAAGAUCACGAUUGGUCAAAGAAACAACAACAGAAGUGUGGAGUAAGAUUUAAUGCAUGAUGGCUUUGACGUGUCAUAUCAGUAGAGCAGGGAACAGUACCAUUAAUGUCUCCAUCUAGACCCUUUGAGAAAACGCACCUUGAACUGCUUGUCCUGUCCCCUAGAAACAUGACACACCUUUUGUGAAAAUAGUUCUUCGGAAGAAGCCCCACCAAUUCAUCCCGCCAGCUAAAUGAACGCAUUCCACCCUCACAAGCAUCAUCAAUGAAACCAGCUGACAGCCAGAAAGCGUUUAUAAACUCAUGCGAGUGACUCAUCUGGGUCAGGCUUCUACUACAGGUGGGUGUUUGGGUGAAUGGACCCCUCUCCCAGCCUGGGUCCUUUCAUGGCCCUGGACACCUGCAUCAGGCACAAAGGCCAUCUUGAGCCUUUGUUGGAGAGUUACUGGAGAGAGUUAGAGAGAGAGAACAGGGAAAAGGAGAGAGAAGAAGAAGGGGGUUGGGGUAUUUCUGACCUCAGCCACAAAGAAACAAAGUAACACAAAUGGGCAGGCCACAGCUGGAGAGAAGAGUGAUAGACAGCAUGGUGGGUGGUCUAAGAGAAAGGCAGAGAGAGGGUAAAGAGAGGACUAAUGACUGGAACAGCCAGAAAAACCUUAAAGUACCUGAUUCAACCUUUAAUGCUUGGUUCAGAGUACACAGUAUUUUUGUGUCUUUUGAUUGUCUGUGUGUCCAUAUUGUGUCA